rnacentral:snoRNA from 1 species
GCAUUUCCUGUGUGCGCUCUAGCUCCAUCGGGGCCCUGAUGAGUCAGCAACAAACCAUGCAUUACACAUCG